rnacentral:rRNA from 1 species
AUGAACGCUAGCUACAGGCUUAACACAUGCAAGUCGAGGGGCAGCAGGAUUUAGCAAUAGAUUGCUGGCGACCGGCGCACGGGUGAGUAACACGUAUCCAACCUGCCGAUAACUCGGGGAUAGCCUUUCGAAAGAAAGAUUAAUACCCGAUAGUAUAAUGAAACCGCAUGGUUUUGUUAUUAAAGAAUUUCGGUUAUCGAUGGGGAUGCGUUCCAUUAGGCAGUUGGUGAGGUAACGGCUCACCAAACCUUCGAUGGAUAGGGGUUCUGAGAGGAAGGUCCCCCACAUUGGAACUGAGACACGGUCCAAACUCCUACGGGAGGCAGCAGUGAGGAAUAUUGGUCAAUGGGCGCAGGCCUGAACCAGCCAAGUAGCGUGAAGGAUGACUGCCCUAUGGGUUGUAAACUUCUUUUAUAUGGGAAUAAAGUUUUCCACGUGUGGAAUUUUGUAUGUACCAUAUGAAUAAGGAUCGGCUAACUCCGUGCCAGCAGCCGCGGUAAUACGGAGGAUCCGAGCGUUAUCCGGAUUUAUUGGGUUUAAAGGGAGCGUAGGUGGACAGUUAAGUCAGUUGUGAAAGUUUGCGGCUCAACCGUAAAAUUGCAGUUGAUACUGGCUGUCUUGAGUACAGUAGAGGUGGGCGGAAUUCGUGGUGUAGCGGUGAAAUGCUUAGAUAUCACGAAGAACUCCGAUUGCGAAGGCAGCUCACUGGACUGCAACUGACACUGAUGCUCGAAAGUGUGGGUAUCAAACAGGAUUAGAUACCCUGGUAGUCCACACAGUAAACGAUGAAUACUCGCUGUUUGCGAUAUACAGUAAGCGGCCAAGCGAAAGCAUUAAGUAUUCCACCUGGGGAGUACGCCGGCAACGGUGAAACUCAAAGGAAUUGACGGGGGCCCGCACAAGCGGUGGAUUAUGUGGUUUAAUUCGAAGCAACGCGAAGAACCUUACCAGGUCUUGACAUCCGACUAACGAGAUAGAGAUAUGUCAGGUGCCCUUCGGGGAAAGUCGAGACAGGUGGUGCAUGGUUGUCGUCAGCUCGUGUCGUGAGAUGUUGGGUUAAGUCCCGCAACGAGCGCAACCCUUAUCUUUAGUUACUAACAGGUUAUGCUGAGGACUCUAGAGAGACUGCCGUCGUAAGAUGUGAGGAAGGUGGGGAUGACGUCAAAUCAGCACGGCCCUUACGUCCGGGGCUACACACGUGUUACAAUGGGGGGUACAGAAGGCAGCUACCUGGUGACAGGAUGCUAAUCCCAAAAGCCUCUCUCAGUUCGGAUCGAAGUCUGCAACCCGACUUCGUGAAGCUGGAUUCGCUAGUAAUCGCGCAUCAGCCAUGGCGCGGUGAAUACGUUCCCGGGCCUUGUACACACCGCCCGUCAAGCCAUGAAAGCCGGGGGUACCUGAAGUACGUAACCGCAAGGAGCGUCCUAGGGUAAAACUGGUAAUUGGGGCU